rnacentral:rRNA from 1 species
GAUCAAGUGAAAGAAGGGCAUUUGGUGGAUGCCUUGGCAUGCACAGGCGAUGAAGGACGUGAUACGCUGCGAUAAGCCGUGGGGAGCUGCGAAUAAGCUUUGAUCCAUGGAUCUCCGAAUGGGGAAACCCACCUUAAAUACUUGGAAAAUUUAAGUCGUGCUUAGGUACGGCUUAGGUUUCCAAGUAUUGUUUAAAGGUAUCUUAUUCUGAAUACAUAGGGGUAAGAAGCGAACGCAGGGAACUGAAACAUCUAAGUACCUGCAGGAAAGGACAUCAACCGAGACUCCGCAAGUAGUGGCGAGCGAACGCGGACCAGGCCAGUGGCACUGAGGAAUAAAGUGGAACGACAUGGAAAGGUCGGCCGUAGAGGGUGAUAGCCCCUUACACGUAGAACACUCAGUGUCCUUGAGUAAGGCGGGACACGUGAAAUCCUGUCUGAACAUGGGGAGACCACUCUCCAAGCCUAAGUACUCGUGCAUGACCGAUAGCGAACAAGUACCGUGAGGGAAAGGUGAAAAGCACCCCGACAAGGGGAGUGAAAUAGAACCUGAAACCGGAUGCCUACAAACAGUCGGAGCCCGCAAGGGUGACGGCGUACCUUUUGUAUAAUGGGUCAACGACUUAGUGUGACGAGCAAGCUUAAGCCGAUAGGUGAAGGCGCAGCGAAAGCGAGUCUGAA